CCCUCUCCCUAUCUGGCUUUCUGGGUAAUCCCCGCUCCCUAUCUGGCUUUCUGGUGGCCGAGCUAAUCUCGUAAUGAGGCGAGUUCUUCUUGAGUUGUGUUGGGUCGGGGGGGGUCUGGUCAGGUCAGCGUACGUGGAAAGGGCGCACCUCCCACUUAGUUUCUAAUUUAGUCCAAAUGGUCAAUGAAAAACCACAGUUUGGGGAAAAAUGGUGUACGUUGUGGUGCAAGACAUUUAUAUGUUGAUUGUAGGUCUUGGAUCCGUAUGUCUUGCAUAUUAAGCACUCCAGGGUAUUUUUUAUUAUAAUUUUUUGUUGACAUUUUUAUUGCAGAUACCCUCUUUUUGGAGAGGGGUCAGUCUUUGUGUAUUGGGGAUGAAUUGGAAAAUGACCAGGUCAUAUCACAUAGGCAUUAUAAUUAUCAUUUAGUGUAAUGGAGGUUUGUCAAGUGGCAAGAUGUAGGUAGGCACUUAAGUGUUGUGUUUGGGGUGCAGAAAGAGCAGGGUAAGCUACUUCUACAGGCCAAAUGUGACCCUGGGGGAGCAGAUUAAACACACCUCCCACAAUGCCUUGCGGGUCUGUAAUCGCCUGCCUAACGCCUUCCGCGUACAAACGCUUUUAGGGCUAAUUCGUGUUAGCGUAGCCUGGCGGAGGUGGCCCGUACGGUGGCGGGAUUGUGACUGCGCAGAGGCAGGAGACAGAAUGACGCUGCGGCGCAGGCGAAGGCGUCGGCGUGCGCGCCGACUCCACUCGCGCGGAACGCGCUUCCUGUUCGCCGGGGGGCUCGAUGGCCAGUCGCUUUUUUUUUACGGUCGGGAGAAACUCGCCGUGCACCGAAGCGUGCUGGAGGCCGGUAACCCCUUUAUCUGGGGGGUUCGGAGGAGCGCACCGACGAUAUGCAGCCCGCGGGGAGCCCACCCCAGAUGAUGCGUUGUUGGGGUGAAUUUUGCAUCAAGGGGUCACGACGACUGCUCUCCGUCAGCACCUGUCGCUGAGACCGUUGCCGUAGUAACUGGCAGGGUAGGGUUAAAAGAAGCGAGAAUAUUCAUUUUGCGUUUAGCCGCUGUCGUGGGCCUGCACCUGCCCAGUGCUCUUCUCUUGGGCGCAUAUUUCUCCACCUCAAAGCUUCUUUCUUUUUUGUAUGACGCCGUGAGAUAAUCUGCCCCAGUCCCAGCCGAGUUUUGUACAUAGACGUGUAUUUAUUUGGAUUGUUUUUGUCUUUGAAAUUGUUAUGGAUCCUCUUUAAACACUCUCUCGCUCCUAUUGUGUGUAUGAAAACACUUCUUCUGUCGGUUUUGUGUUUUGCUUUCUUUAUUUCUCUUUGCUUUCUUCAUUAUUUAUAUUUUAAAUUCUAUCUCCUUUUUUUUUUUUUUUUUUUUUUUUUAAUUCAAUUUCUGCUGCACCGGUCUCACCAGCAGAACGAACACUACCGUUGCUGCCGGCCAGAUUUCAGGAGACCGCGAGACCAUGUAUGUAUAAAUAUAAAUAAGUGAACGUGCUGCUCAUUAGAUAGCUGUAACUGACAAACGAGCCAAUCGUCUGCGUGGCCCCAACGAGGGUACCUGUCCACCGGCAAGUAGAGCGACAAACAGACCUCGUUCCCACAGCCCAGAUCCCCCGUCGCCCUCCCACUCGCUCCCCCCCCCCCCCAAAUUGGAAGUCAUUUGAAUUCGGUUCAUUUUCUCACAGCUUUUCAUAUUUCACGAAGAAAGAGUGGCUUCCUGUCUGGCGACCUGCUUUGUUUUUCACUCCCAGACCGGUUGUUUCGGUUGCGCCCCGUCGGCGUUGCCGCUGGGGAAGUGAGCCAGCACCUCAGCUGUGAAGAAAGAGAAAACCGGCCUGCCUGCUGUUCGCUCUUCGGCCAUCGGGGGGAGCCCGUGUUCUGCCGCUCUGGCGUAAUAUUGAGUGACGCCGACGGUGAAAGCGUGCGGCUGUCCUCUGGACGUGCGCGCGUGCGUUUGUUGCAGAGCAUCGUGGGUGGACGGUACCCUCGACCACUAUAUCACCGCCAAGAUAAGCCUACGCCCGAAUGUAAAUCUGACGGAAAACCUGUAUGACAACAGGUUGUCAAAUUGUCUUGCUCUGCCAGCAUAACCUCUUCAAAUGACAACAUUUCUCAAGUGUUUGUUUUGUCAUUUUCCUGUGUAAAAGCUCCUUGUAUUGUUAAAAGAUUUUAUCAAACAUCCCCCCCCCCCCCUCCCUCUCUCUCCCCAACCCCCCCAUCCCAAAGAACAAGUCAGGGAUUGCGGGGGUGACCCUUGCUUCCCGUCAGUAGGGUUUACAUGUCGAGUCAAAAGAUGAUUGUUUGAGACAAAGAGGGAAAAAAGUUACUGACAAAGAGGAAACACACCUGAUAAUUAAAUGAUCGCUUAAAACAAAAAUUGUACAGAGAAUGUCUUGAUUGUGUGGAAGAAGUGCAGAGAAGAGAUUUUUUUUGUCAGUAUUUGAAAUAAAAAUUUUACAUGAA